rnacentral:rRNA from 1 species
ACGAACGCUGGCGGCAUGCCUAACACAUGCAAGUCGAACGAGACCUUCGGGUCUAGUGGCGCACGGGUGCGUAACGCGUGGGAAUCUGCCCUUGGGUUCGGAAUAACUCAGAGAAAUUUGAGCUAAUACCGGAUGAUGACGUAAGUCCAAAGAUUUAUCGCCAGAAGAGGGGCCCGCGUCCGAUUAGGUAGUUGGUGAGGUAAUGGCUCACCAAGCCGACGAUCGGUAGCUGGUCUGAGAGGAUGAUCAGCCACACUGGGACUGAGAUACGGCCCAGACUCCUACGGGAGGCAGCAGUGGGGAAUAUUGGACAAUGGGGGCAACCCUGAUCCAGCAAUGCCGCGUGAGUGGUGAAGGCCUUAGGGUUGUAAAGCUCUUUUGCCAGGGAAGAUGAUGACUGUACCUGGAGAAUAAGCCCCGGCUAACUUCGU